CAAAACACCGAUUCCCGUACGAUCAUCGCAGUUAAGCAACGUUUAGCCUGGUCAGUAUCCAGAUGGGUGACCUCUUGGAAAUACCAGGUGCUGCAAG